UUGCAGUUGUUUUAUCCCCAGUGACCACAGUGAUCCUUCCAUGUCAGAGGAACCAAAGGGGGAGCUAGAUCAGCUUUACACUUUUAGGAUCCUUUGGGGUUAUCUGCAGACACAAUAGGUUUUGUGGAUACCAAAGCUGGCCAUAUACUUCAGAAAGAUAUCAGAAAACAGCUCUCUCCUGACCCCUCCAAGGUCAGCACCCAGCAGCAUCAUAAUGACCCACUGGUGGUCUGGAAUCCUUAUGUUGGGGGCUCACAACGCAGGACAAUGUUCUAUGUCUCACAGCCAGGUCAAUCAAGGUGUGGAUAGAGGACCACCAGCUCAAGACCCUGUGAUACCAGCCCAAUCUCCAGACCUGAAUCCCCUUGAAAACUUCUGGAAUUCGGUAAAGAGGAAGAUGGAUGGUCACAAGACAUCAAACAAAGUUGAGCUAGUUCAAGUCUUGUGCCGGGGCUGACAUUCAGUCACCCAACAGGAAUGUGACAGACUGGUGGAAAGUAUGCCAAGACACAUGAACGCUGUGGUUAUAAAUCAGGAUUAUUCCACCAAAUAUUGACUUCUGAACUCUUCCUAAAUUAAAACAUUAGCAUUUUUUGUGUUGAAAAUAUUAAUAAAUUUUCUUUGCAUUAUUUGAGGUAUGAAACAAUGCA